rnacentral:rRNA from 1 species
CCUACGGGAGGCAGCAGUGAGGAAUAUUGGUCAAUGGGCGCGAGCCUGAACCAGCCAAGUCGCGUGAGGGAAGACGGUCCUAUGGAUUGUAAACCUCUUUUGUCGGGGAGCAAGGCGCGCCACGUGUGGCGGCAAGGAGAGUACCCGACGAAAAAGCAUCGGCUAACUCCGUGCCAGCAGCCGCGGUAAUACGGAGGGUGCGAGCGUUAUCCGGAUUUACUGGGUGUAAAGGGAGCGUAGGCGGGAAGCCAAGUCAGCUGUGAAAACUACGGGCUUAACCUGUAGACUGCAGUUGAAACUGGGUUUCUUGAGUGCAGUAGAGGUUGGCGGAAUGCCGAGUGUAGCGGUGAAAUGCGUAGAUAUUCGGAGGAACACCGGUGGCGAAGGCGGCCAACUGGGCUUUAACUGACGCUGAGGCUCGAAAGUGUGGGGAGCAAACAGGAUUAGAUACCCUGGUAGUC